rnacentral:lncRNA from 1 species
CUCGGGGUGUUCUAUGGUUCUAUGACUGCACACACAUGUAGAGAAGGCCUCCAUGGAAGCUGGGUGUUGACUGCAGAAGCUUUGGGUUGAUGAGUUAACUUCUCCGGAUACUUGGAAGGAUUUGAAUAGUUGGUAGAUGGAAGAUGUUGGCAUCUUCUGCUGUCCCUUUCCAGUGGAAAAAAAAAAAAAGGGAUAAUUUUUCCCCUGAAAUGAUGAAGGCAAUUGAUGGUUUUUGAAGCAUCAUUUAAGUGCAGCACUCCUUUCAUUGUCUGGAACUUGCCAGUAUGUCACCCUGCUGGUGAAAGAAUAGAUCGACGCUGGA